AUACGGAGGGUGCAAGCGUUAAUCGGAAUUACUGGGCGUAAAGCGCUCGUAGGCGGCUUGUUAAGUCGGAUGUGAAAGCCCCGGGCUCAACCUGGGAACUGCAUUCGAUACUGGCAAGCUAGAGUAUAGUAGAGGCAAGUGGAAUUCCGGGUGUAGCGGUGAAAUGCGUAGAUAUCCGGAGGAACAUCAGUGGCGAAGGCGACUUGCUGGACUAAUACUGACGCUGAGGAGCGAAAGCGUGGGGAGCAAACGGGAUUAGAAACCCCAGUAGUCC
rnacentral:rRNA from 1 species